AGGACGAACGCUGGCGGCGUGCUUAACACAUGCAAGUCGAGCGGUAAGGCCUUUCGGGGUACACGAGCGGCGAACGGGUGAGUAACACGUGGGUGAUCUGCCCUGCACUCUGGGAUAAGCCUGGGAAACUGGGUCUAAUACCGGAUAUGACCUGCUCUCGCAUGGGGGUGGGUGGAAAGAUUUAUCGGUGCAGGAUGGGCCCGCGGCCUAUCAGCUUGUUGGUGGGGUAAUGGCCUACCAAGGCGACGACGGGUAGCCGACCUGAGAGGGUGACCGGCCGCACUGGGACUGACGACACGGCCCAGACUCCUACGGGAGCAGCAGGUGGGAAUAUUGCACAAUGGGCGAAAGCCUGAUGCAGCGACGCCGCGUGAGGGA
rnacentral:rRNA from 1 species